GACGAACGCUGGCGGCGUGCUUAACACAUGCAAGUCGAACGGAAAGGCCCUGCUUUUGUGGGGUGCUCGAGUGGCGAACGGGUGAGUAACACGUGAGUAACCUGCCCUUGACUUUGGGAUAACUUCAGGAAACUGGGGCUAAUACCGGAUAGGAGCUCCUGCUGCAUGGUGGGGGUUGGAAAGUUUCGGCGGUUGGGGAUGGACUCGCGGCUUAUCAGCUUGUUGGUGGGGUAGUGGCUUACCAAGGCUUUGACGGGUAGCCGGCCUGAGAGGGUGACCGGCCACAUUGGGACUGAGAUACGGCCCAGACUCCUACGGGAGGCAGCAGUGGAGAGUAUUGCACAGUGGGCGGAAGCCUGAUGCAGCAACGCCGCGUACGGGAUGACGGCCUUCGGGUUGUAAACCGCUUUCGCCUGUGACGAAGCGUGAGUGACGGUAAUGGGUAAAGAAGCACCGGCUAACUACGUG
rnacentral:rRNA from 1 species